UCUUGACAUCCACAGAACUUUCCAGAGAUGGAUUGGUGCCUUCGGGAACUGUGAGACAGGUGCUGCAUGGCUGUCGUCAGCUCGUGUUGUGAAAUGUUGGGUUAAGUCCCGCAACGAGCGCAACCCUUAUCCUUUGUUGCCAGCGGUCCGGCCGGGAACUCAAAGGAGACUGCCAGUGAUAAACUGGAGGAAGGUGGGGAUGACGUCAAGUCAUCAUGGCCCUUACGACCAGGGCUACACACGUGCUACAAUGGCGCAUACAAAGAGAAGCGACCUCGCGAGAGCAAGCGGACCUCAUAAAGUGCGUCGUAGUCCGGAUUGGAGUCUGCAACUCGACUCCAUGAAGUCGGAAUCGCUAGUAAUCGUGGAUCAGAAUGCCACGGUGAAUACGUUCCCGGGCCUUGUACACACCGCCCGUCACACCAUGGGAGUGGGUUGCAAAAGAAGU
rnacentral:rRNA from 1 species